GGCGCCAUAGCUCAGCUGGGAGAGCAGCAGACUGAAGUAAUUCAGUGCAUCUGAAGGUCCGGUGUUCAAUCCACCGUGUUGCCA